rnacentral:rRNA from 1 species
CCUACGGGUGGCAGCAGUGAGGAAUAUUGGUCAAUGGACGAGAGUCUGAACCAGCCAAGUAGCGUGAAGGAUGAAUGUCCUAUGGGUUGUAAACUUCUUUUAUCUGGGAAUAAAACGUUCCACGUGUGGGAUUUUGUAUGUACCAUAUGAAUAAGGAUCGGCUAACUCCGUGCCAGCAGCCGCGGUAAUACGGAGGAUCCGAGCGUUAUCCGGAUUUAUUGGGUUUAAAGGGAGCGUAGGUGGAUUGUUAAGUCAGUGGUGAAAGUUUGCGGCUCAACCGUAAAAUUGCAGUUGAAACUGGCAGUCUUGAGUACAGUAGAGGUGUGCGGAAUUCGUGGUGUAGCGGUGAAAUGCUUAGAUAUCACGAAGAACUCCGAUUGCGAAGGCAGUUCACUGGACUGCAACUGACACUGAGGCUCGAAAGUGUGGGUAUCAAACAGGAUUAGAUACCCGAGUAGUC